UACGUAGGCAGCGAGCGUUGUUCGGAGUUACUGGGCGUAAAGAGUGCGUAGGCGGUGUUCCAAGUCUGUUGUGAAAUCUCCCGGCUCAACUGGGGAGGGUGCGCCGGAUACUGAGGGGCUAGAGUGUGGGAGAGGAAAGUGGAAUUCCUGGUGUAGCGGUGAAAUGCGCAGAUAUCAGGAGGAACACCGGUGGCGAAGGCGGAUCUCUGGGCCUUACCUGACGCUCAGGUGCGAAAGCUAGGGGAGCGAACAGG
rnacentral:rRNA from 1 species